GGAGUUAGCCGGUGCUUCUUCUGUGAGUGAUGUCCUUCCUGCCGGCUAUUAACCCGCAGGCCUUCUUCCUCACUGAAAGUGCUUUACAACCCGAAGGCCUUCUUCACACACGCGGCAUGGCUGGAUCAGGGUUGCCCCCAUUGUCCAAUAUUCCCCACUGCUGCCUCCCGUAGGAGUCUGGGCCGUGUCUCAGUCCCAGUGUGGCUGAUCAUCCUCUCAGACCAGCUACGGAUCGUCGCCUUGGUGAGCCGUUACCUCACCAACCAGCUAAUCCGACAUAGGCUCAUCCGAUAGCGCGAGGCCCGAAGGUCCCCCGCUUUCCCCCGUAGGGCGUAUGCGGUAUUAGCCUGGGUUUCCCCAGGUUAUCCCCCACUACCGGGCAGAUUCCUAUGCAUUACUCACCCGUCCGCCGCUCGCCACCAGGGAGCAAGCUCCCCGUGCUGUCGCUCGACUUGCAUGUGUAGCUCGCCGCCACGCGUCAUCUGAGCAUGAUACAACUACUGA
rnacentral:rRNA from 1 species